AUACCAGAUUUAUUUACAGCUUUAUUAUUUUUGUGCGGCAUUUUAGGAUGCACAUUUUUCUGCCCAUCUCGCUUUCACCGUGUUCACAAAUCACAAUCGUCAGCAGCGUCAUCACCGCGCAGGAGUGAUUGAGUGAAAUUUUUCGACUUUUUCUUCGCCGUGAGCACAUCUCAGGGCUCGCUUGGCGCUGCUCAAUAUCCACAAAAUUGUGCUAAAUGAGUGUGAGAUUUUGAGAAAAUCCUGUUUUCGAGCGCAAGAAAUCGUUCGUUGUUCACCAAUAAUAUUUACUAGGGAUCCUACAUUCAGAGAUAUGCGAAAGCGGCCAUCUUGAGCCAAUCGAGCAUUGAGAGCUGUCAGAAUCUGAGCCAAAUGAACAUCGUUAUUGUUGCGGAUUGAAAGUGAUAAUACACUGUUGGACGUUAGAUAACGAAGUCUGAAAAUACUAUUAUGAGCAAAGUCACGUUUGAGCUCCAACAUUUUGCGCCACGGCAAGUGCUGGCAGCGUUUGUUUACGAAAGUAACAGCGUUGCUAAAUCGUCUGGAAAAGUAUUCGCACAUCUCUUAAUAUAGGAUCCCUAAUAUUUACCUAAACAGUUCGACAUUUUUUUGUGAGCGCGUUAGCUAAAAAUCACCAAACACGGAGUCUGGAAUCGUUCCCUGUUCCUCCGCCAUGGGGCCACUGGAU